GAAAGGAUUGCUAAUACCGCAUGUGGUCAUUGGAUUUAGAAACCGAUGUCUAAAGGAGCAAUCCGCUUUGGGAGGGACCUGCGUCCCAUCAGCUAGUUGGUGAGGUAACGGCCCACCAAGGCGACGACGGGUAGGGGACCUGAGAGGGUGGCCCCCCACAAUGGAACUGAAAUACGGUCCAUACACCUACGGGUGGCAGCAGUAGGGAAUAUUGGGCAAUGGGCGAAAGCCUGACCCAGCAACGCCGCGUGUGUGAUGAAGGCCUUCGGGUCGUAAAGCACUUUUCUGGGAGAUGAGAAAGGACAGUAUCCCAGGAAUAAGUCUCGGCUAACUACGUGCCAGCAGCCGCGGUAAAACGUAGGAGGCGAGCGUUAUCCGGAUUCACUGGGCGUAAAGCGCGUGCAGGUGGCGCGGUAAGUUGGGCGUGAAAUCUCCCGGCUCAACUGGGAGAGGUCGUCCAAUACUACCGUGCUUGAGAGCAGAAGAGGAAGAUGGAAUUCCCGGUGUAGUGGUGAAAUGCGUAGAUAUCGGGAGGAACACCAGUGGCGAAGGCGAUCUUCUGGUCUGUUUCUGACACUCAGACGCGACAGCUAGGGUAGUAAACGGGAUUAGAGACCCCGGUAAUCCUAGCCGUAAACGAUGUGAACUUGGCGUUGGUGGGUUAAACUCCAUCAGUGCCGUAGCAAACGCGAUAAGUUCACCGCCUGGGGACUACGGCCGCAAGGUUAAAACUCAAAGGAAUUGACGGGGGCCCGCACAAGCAGCGGAGCGUGUGGUUUAAUUCGAUGCUACACGAAGAACCUUACCCAGGCUUGACAUAUAGGUGGUAGAGAUCCGAAAGGUGACCGACCCGCAAGGGAGCCUGUACAGGUGUUGCAUGGCUGUCGUCAGCUCGUGUCGUGAGAUGUUCGGUUAAGUCCGCUAACGAGCGCAACCCUCGCUGCGUGUUACAAGUGUCACGCAGGACCGCCGGUAUUAAGCCGGAGGAAGGUGGGGAUGACGUCAAGUCAGCAUGGCCUUUAUGCCUGGGGCUACACACACGCUACAAUGGGCAGUACAAUGGGUUGCUAAGCCGCGAGGUGGAGCCAAU
rnacentral:rRNA from 1 species